rnacentral:tRNA from 1 species
GGGGAUUUAGCUCAGUGGUAGAGCGCUUGCCUAGCAAGCGCAAGGUCCUGGGUUCGAUCCCCAGCUCCG